CUCCACACCACUCGGAUCUGGUGCGCUUCCAACACCAACCGCGUCGCCUGGGUCAGUUUGUCCACGUUCCCUUGCUUCCAACGCCGUCUUACAUAAGGUUCUGGGAGACCCGCGCCGCGUCCGGACGCGCCUGGGAGGAGCUGCCACGCCACCGCCCCUUUGGGCUCCCGGCUCCAGCACCGCAGCAAACAAAGAACUUCGGCUGCAUCGCCCAGUGGCGCCCGGAUCCCUUCCCUCUGGACAGCCAGGACGCACGUCCGAGACGCUAGAGCCAGCCCCUGCAGGAGCUCGGGUUGACCAUUUCCAAGUGGAAAGAAUGGAAACCAUAAGUGAGAUUCCUCUCCCCGCAGACUCACUUUCCCCCCCCCCUCACUCCGGUCUUCUGCAUUCUCCCUUAACUAGUUCCUAGAAAUAUCUACCCGGGCUAAUUCAUUCUGCUUUUGUGUAUGCAAAACAAGGUCAAGCCGCUUCCAGUCUCGUGCUGAGCCUCGGUUUUGUACCGCCUUUUAGUAAGCAUCAAAGUUUUGGGGUUUUUUUUUUUUUAUUUGUUUGUUUUUCUCUUCUUGGGCUUCAUGACACUGGCAAGUGAAUGUCAAGGCUUUUGAAAAAGUUGAAUUUCAAAGUCUGGAGCUUGCAUACUUCUUCCAAAUCUCACAUGUUUACCCCUUUAAACUUGGAAAUAUAUUUCUGAAAGCAUUUCUUUUUUUAAAUCGUCAUUUUGCUCAACAGUAUCCUGAGGCUUAACUGCACUGCCAAACAAGUAAAAACCUGCCACACAGACCGUGGUGUUAAGGAAGAGGCAAGUUAAGUGUAAAGAGAAAAAACUCGUCCUAUUACCAGGUAAUCUCUCUCAUUUCUUCAUAAUAUUUCUUCAAAUAUUUAUAAUACGAAUGAAGGAAAGAACUGUGAUUUGCUUGUCUCCACUGGGAAGCUAACUCUUCAAUAAACCUGUUUCUCCUAACCUCCACUCUCCCUGCCUUUAAAAAACAGCAAGAACAGUAAACAGCCAUCAAACCUCAAGGUUCAACCCAGAAUAGUAGGUUACCAGAGUGGGAAAUGUUAUUAGAUAAUAAAGAGGGAAAAGUGCCUUUUUGUAAUAAUUUGGGGACCAGUGUUGUGUCGGUAGCAAACAUUGUAUUUUCCUGCAGUGGAAAAAAAAAAUCCAAAUCCUUGCUUAUUUUUGUGGAAAAGUCCAUAUUAACAAUCCAGUACUUUCAACUUUUUCAGCUUUGGCAGUCAGAGAGGGUGCUGUUAACAGCCCUCAAAACUGAAGUUCCUUUAUUUCUUCUGCCACUUGAGAAAAAGUUUUGCCACAAAGUUCUAAUAACUCUAAGUUCCUACAAAUCAGCUUGGAAACGUCUAAAUGUGUUUUUCCUAGAAAAAGUGCCAGACAUCAAUUUUAUCUGGCAACCAUCAAAAUGCAUCAGACCACAAAACUAUACAUUGCUGGACCUCACAAGGAGCAUGGUAAGGAAUCGCAGUGAGCCAACCCAAGUGCUCAGCUACACCACAUCUGCAGUCUACAACGUCAACAGCUGUAAUGAUAUACCAAAAUACCAGAUUUUUAUAGGUGAUAAAUUCACAUUUUCAGCUAAUUCUACUGUGAUCUGUUGCCUAGACUCACAUUUAAAGGAAAUACUAAAUUUCAGUUACAGGAUAGUGACAAUACCUGACAUUAACUGCUGCAACCAAGAACGUGCAACAGCAAAAUAAAACAAAAUUUUAAAUUGUAAAAGCAAUGGGUGGAAAUCUCAAAUCAACCUUCUCAGCCUCAGGUUUAAGAUUACAUAGCAUUAUUUAACUCCUCAUCACACUAAACUAACUGUCAUAUAUAGAAUAAAUAAAUAAAUAAAUAAAUAAAUAAAUAUAUAUAUAUAUAUAUAUAUAUAUAUAGAGAGAGAGAGAGAGAGAGAGAGAGAGACCAUGAAAAUGAAUUUUUUUUUUGUUUGCAACUAUAUUAUUUUAUGAGAUAGCAAAUGACAUAAAACGUGGGGAUUUAGGUCAAAGAACAGUUUUCCUGAUUGCCAGGUUGGCAGAACUUGUGUAACUAAAGUAUGCAUACUGAUAAUUGAUGUGCACAGUGACCCCCAAACAGGAAGUGCCCUUGGAAUCAUAAGUCUAAUAGUCAUUUAUUCAACCCCUACUGUGAGAAAUACAGUAGGGAUUAUAGAUUAUAAGGCGCUGCCUGCACAGAUUUUGCAUUCUAGUUAGAGAAGGGAAUGCCAUAAAGUUCAAAAAAGUGUAGGCUGGUGGGCAGAGAGGAGGGGAGCAAGGAUGGUUGCUUUUCAUGACGUCUUUCCACGGUAGUUGAUUUUUGAAACUGUGCUAUGUGUUUUACUUACAUAAAAGUUUAAGAGGUAAAUAAUGAUAGCAAUGGGAAAGAAGGAACAGAUGUAAUAAGCAUAGGAAGAAUACUGCUCCAGCCCGAAACCGGAUAGGGGAAGUUGGGUACAUAUGGACCUCUCCCUCUGCUUCAUGUCCCUGAUCUAUCAAUAAGUUCAUUGUCUCCAGAAUCUCCCACAGAUUCCUCCUCAUCCUCAUCCUCCCCAACACUGCCUCAAGCUGCAAAGACCUCCUCACCAUUAACCUUCCUCUGGUGCAUGAAUUCUUGACAUUUGUUGACCCCUUUGGCAGUACUUCCCAUCCUAUGGAACUCUUCUCACAAUAAGGUGCUUGGAUUAUAAAAUAAGGUACAAAAUAUGAAUUGUAUUA
rnacentral:lncRNA from 1 species